rnacentral:rRNA from 1 species
CCGCGUGUGUGAAGAAGGCCUUCGUGUUGUAAACUAUUUUUGUCCGGAAAGAAAACCAUCGCCCUAAUAUGGCCGUGGGAUGACGGUACCGGAAGAAUAAGCACCGGCUAACUACGUGCCAGCAGCCGCGGUAAUACGUAGGGUGCGAGCGUUAAUCGGAAUUACUGGGCGUAAAGCGUGCGCAGGCGGUCUGUUAAGACCGAUGUGAAAUCCCCGGGCUUAACCUGGGAACUGCAUUGGUGACUGGCAGGCUUUGAGUGUGGCAGAGGGAGGUAGAAUUCCACGUGUAGCAGUGAAAUGCGUAGAGAUGUGGAGGAAUACCGAUGGCGAAGGCAGCCUCCUGGGCCAACACUGACGCUCAUGCACGAAAGCGUGGGGAGCAAACA